GACGUAGGGACCAAGCGUUGUUCGGAUUUACUGGGCGUAAAGGGCGCGUAGGCGGCGUGGUAAGUCACUUGUGAAAUCUCUGAGCUUAACUCAGAACGGCCAAGUGAUACUGCUGUGCUAGAGUGCAGAAGGGGCAAUCGGAAUUCUUGGUGUAGCGGUGAAAUGCGUAGAUAUCAAGAGGAACACCUGAGGCGAAGACGGGUUGCUGGGCUGACACUGACGCUGAGGCGCGAAAGCCAGGGGAGCAAACGGG
rnacentral:rRNA from 1 species